CAGUCGAACGAGUUCUGAUUAUUGAAAGGUGCUUGCAUCUUGAUUUAAUUUUGAACGAGUGGCGGACGGGUGAGUAACACGUGGGUAACCUGCCCUUAAGUGGGGGAUAACAUUUGGAAACAGAUGCUAAUACCGCAUAAAUCCAAGAACCGCAUGGUUCUUGGCUGAAAGAUGGCGUAAGCUAUCGCUUUUGGAUGGACCCGCGGCGUAUUAGCUAGUUGGUGAGGUAACGGCUCACCAAGGCAAUGAUACGUAGCCGAACUGAGAGGUUGAUCGGCCACAUUGGGACUGAGACACGGCCCAAACUCCUACGGGAGGCAGCAGUAGGGAAUCUUCCACAAUGGACGCAAGUCUGAUGGAGCAACGCCGCGUGAGUGAAGAAGGCUUUCGGGUCGUAAAACUCUGUUGUUGGAGAAGAAUGGUCGGCAGAGUAACUGUUGUCGGCGUGACGGUAUCCAACCAGAAAGCCACGGCUAACUACGUGCCAGCAGCCGCGGUAAUACGUAGGUGGCAAGCGUUAUCCGGAUUUAUUGGGCGUAAAGCGAGCGCAGGCGGUUUUUUAAGUCUGAUGUGAAAGCCCUCGGCUUAACCGAGGAAGUGCAUCGGAAACUGGGAAACUUGAGUGCAGAAGAGGACAGUGGAACUCCAUGUGUAGCGGUGAAAUGCGUAGAUAUAUGGAAGAACACCAGUGGCGAAGGCGGCUGUCUGGUCUGUAACUGACGCUGAGGCUCGAAAGCAUGGGUAGCGAACAGGAUUAGAUACCCUGGUAGUCCAUGCCGUAAACGAUGAAUGCUAGGUGUUGGAGGGUUUCCGCCCUUCAGUGCCGCAGCUAACGCAUUAAGCAUUCCGCCUGGGGAGUACGACCGCAAGGUUGAAACUCAAAGGAAUUGACGGGGGCCCGCACAAGCGGUGGAGCAUGUGGUUUAAUUCGAAGCAACGCGAAGAACCUUACCAGGUCUUGACAUCUUUUGAUCACCUGAGAGAUCAGGUUUCCCCUUCGGGGGCAAAAUGACAGGUGGUGCAUGGUUGUCGUCAGCUCGUGUCGUGAGAUGUUGGGUUAAGUCCCGCAACGAGCGCAACCCUUAUGACUAGUUGCCAGCAUUUAGUUGGGCACUCUAGUAAGACUGCCGGUGACAAACCGGAGGAAGGUGGGGAUGACGUCAAAUCAUCAUGCCCCUUAUGACCUGGGCUACACACGUGCUACAAUGGAUGGUACAACGAGUUGCGAGACCGCGAGGUCAAGCUAAUCUCUUAAAGCCAUUCUCAGUUCGGACUGUAGGCUGCAACUCGCCUACACGAAGUCGGAAUCGCUAGUAAUCGCGGAUCAGCACGCCGCGGUGAAUACGUUCCCGGGCCUUGUACACACCGCCCGUCA
rnacentral:rRNA from 2 species